UACAGAGGUCUCAAGCGUUGUUCGGAUUCAUUGGGCGUAAAGGGUGCGUAGGCGGCGCGGUAAGUCGGAUGUGAAAUCUCGGGGCUUAACUCCGUAACUGCAUUCGAUACUGCCGUGCUUGAGGACUGGAGAGGAGACCGGAAUUUACGGUGUAGCGGUGAAAUGCGUAGAUAUCGUAAGGAAGACCAGUGGCGAAGGCGGGUCUCUGGACAGUUUCUGACGCUGAGGCACGAAGGCCAGGGGAGCAAACGGG
rnacentral:rRNA from 1 species